GACGGUGUAUGAAUCCGGUCGCUAUAAGUAUAUUUGUAACGACUAAAUUUUCUUCCGGUCGUUGACGUCAAUUUUUAGUUUAACAAUUACGAGAGGAAAAUAUCCAGUCAAUAAAAGGUAGAAUAACCGAUCGUUAAUCAUAACAAUUAAGCGGGAAACGGAAAGCGCUAUAAUUUUACCAUCAAAUUUCUCGGAUCCAAAAUAAUAAACUGCUUUUGUAGAAUUUUCUUUUUGCUACUUUUUAUUCUAUUCAGACUGAGAGUCGCCCCCUCCAAGUCUGCCCUAACACUUACCUCUCAAUCUCGGACGCCGAGGAUGAAAGCAACACUUGAAGCGGGUCUACAGGCAACACUAGGUUCCAAUCAGAUGUGUAUAUGAUUUAGAGAAUCCAUUUGUACCUCCACUUGGUGAAUCAGAACCAGCAGAAAACACACGGGAGGAACAAUAUUAGCUGAGCUGAAGCAGCAGUAUCUUCAAAUAAAUAGUGUUUGGUCCAUGGUCACUCUGAAUCUUCCUAGCUAUGGAGGGGAAACAGCCUGUGGGGACAUUUAAAGCCAGAGUACUUGGAGAAGGUAGUUAAUGCAAUUUAGGGAAAUAAACUUUCCUGGACCCUGUUAACGGGGGAUGUUUUGUACACCGGGCUACCUUUUUAGACUUCUUAUAAGAGAUCUUGAUGUUUGAAGAACCCAUCCACAGAGAAAGUGUAAAGAAGUAUAAUCAACGGAAAAUGUUGAAGCACAAGAGGAAUGGGUUUCGAGUUUUAGGAGUUGUUUAAAGAUAUUCUCCUUUCAACAUGCUACAAUUCUAGUUUUUCUUUGACCAAGAGUUAACAAAUAUAAUGUGUUCAUACAAUUUGGAUAAUAUACUUUUGAUAAUGUGAUGCAUCAUUCUUUGUAAUUAACUAUGGAAUUUAUAUGAAUUUGAUCAAUUUGUAAGGUUUCAGAUG